rnacentral:sRNA from 1 species
GCUGGGCGCAGUGGCGUGCUCCUGUAAUCCCAGCAGCUCAGGAAACUGAGACAGGAGGAUCAAGAGUUCAAAGCCAGCCUCAGCAACGGUGAGGCACUAAGUAACUCAGUGAGACCCUGUCUCUA